UAGGGAAUCUUCGGCAAUGGGGGGAACCCUGACCGAGCAACGCCGCGUGAGUGAAGAAGGUUUCCGGAUCGUAAAGCUCUGUUGUUAAGGAAGAACGAGUGUGAGAAUGGAAAGUUCAUGCUGUGACGGUACUUAACCAGAAAGGGACGGCUAACUACGUGCCAGCAGCCGCGGUAAUACGUAGGUCCCGAGCGUUGUCCGGAUUUAUUGGGCGUAAAGCGAGCGCAGGCGGUUAGAUAAGUCUGAAGUGAAAGGCAGUGGCUCAACCAUUGUAGGCUUUGGAAACUGUUUAACUUGAGUGCAGAAGGGGAGAGUGGGAUUCCAUGUGUAGCGGUGAAAUGCGUAGAUAUAUGGAGGAACACCGGUGGCGAAAGCGGCUCUCUGGUCUGUAACUGACGCUGAGGCUCGAAAGCGUGGGGAGCGAACAGG
rnacentral:rRNA from 1 species